rnacentral:misc_RNA from 1 species
GAAAUGCGAUAAGUAAUGUGAAUUGCAGAAUUCAGUGAAUCAUCGAAUCUUUGAACGCACAUUGCGCCCGCCAGUAUUCUGGCGGGCUUGCCUGUUCGAGCGUCAUUACAACCCUCAGGCCCCCGGGCCUGGCGUUGGGGAUCGGCGGAAGCCCCCUGCGGGCACAACGCCGUCCCCCAAAUACAGUGGCGGUCCCGCCGCAGCUUCCAUUGCGUAGUAGCUAACACCUCGCAACUGGAGAGCGGCGCGGCCACGCCGUAAAACACCCAACUUCUGAAUGUUGACCUCGAAUCAGGUAGGAAUACCCGCUGAACUUAAGC